UACGGGGGGGGCAAGCGUUGUUCGGAAUUACUGGGCGUAAAGGGCUCGUAGGUGGCCAACUAAGUCAGACGUGAAAUCCCUCGGCUUAACCGAGGAACUGCCUGUCAGACUGGAAGGCUUGAGACCGGGAGAGGUGAGUGGAAUUCCCAGUGUAGCGGUGAAAUGCGCAGAUAUCGGGAGGAACACCAAUGGCGAAGGCAGCUCGCUGGGACGUUACUGACGCUGAGACGCGAAAGCGUGGGGAGCAAACAGG
rnacentral:rRNA from 1 species